UACCUACGGGGCGCAGCAGUAGGGAAUCUUCCACAAUGGACGAAAGUCUGAUGGAGCAACGCCGCGUGAGUGAAGAAGGGUUUCGGCUCGUAAAGCUCUGUUGGUAGUGAAGAAAGAUAGAGGUAGUAACUUGCCUUUAUUUGACGGUAAUUACUUAGAAAGGCACGGCUAACUACGUGCCGGCAGCCGCGGUAACACGUAGGUGGCAAGCGGUGUCCGGAUUUAUUGGGCGGAAAGCGAGUGCAGGCGG
rnacentral:rRNA from 1 species